rnacentral:lncRNA from 1 species
GAUGGCAUCAUCCUGCAGGAAGUGGCAUUAUUUUUUAGAGGGAAACAGGCUACUUACUGUGUAAAACACAGAAAAAUUGGAAGUGGUGGCAACAACCGAGGCCAAGUCUCCAUUACAGAAUUCCCCGCUUCCAAUGUAUCCAGGUUUACAUUCACAAGACACCUCUGUAUAAGAAAAAAUGGCUCUCAUUUUUACAUCAAAACUGUUCAGAAGUUCCACAUACAGGUCCGGUGAAAAUGCAUUCUGCGAAAUCGCUACAGCCACCGUUCGCCUCCUCUACACAUCGGUUGAUAGGCGAGCAGACGUGUCCGUCUCCAGAGUAUCCGGCCUGACAGGAACAGUAUUUACCCGUCCACCCCUCUUGACAGAAACAGCUGCCAUCACCGUCCAGGCCGCUAUCACACUUGCCAUUGCUGGUGCAGUUACAUGCUGUGAGAAAAGAUGAAUAAAAUGUUCAUUAU